UGCAAAAAAUGUUGCUGGCAGACACCUAAAUAUAACAUUUUGAGUAGGUUUAAGAUUUUGUACUCUUUGGGUUUCCAACUUCAAGAAAAGAGAAAUUGGACCAGAAAGAUUAUCCAGACCUAUUGCAAUCAUCGAUGGCCAGUCCAGACCCAGUACCACUCACUCCUGACCCGCUGCCUUCUGGCCCCAGGCCCCCAGAGUGUAGUGCAAGGGGUGGUGAUCUGUGGUGCAAAGAGCGCGUAUUGAAGACAACCUUGGACAUCUGAGUACCCUUAAGGGAGAAGGAUUUGAAAGCUAUCUAGGGUCACUGUCACCUCACUGUCAGCGAGCCCCAGGGCAGACCCUGAUACUGCACCAUACUCGCAUCUAGCAGGUU